GACGAACGCUGGCGGCGUGCUUAACACAUGCAAGUCGAACGGAAAGGCCCUGCUUUUGUGGGGUGCUCGAGUGGCGAACGGGUGAGUAACACGUGGGUAACCUGCCCUUGACUUUGGGAUAACUUCAGGAAACUGGGGCUAAUACCGGAUAGGAGCUCCUGCUGCAUGGUGGGGGUUGGAAAGUUUCGGCGGUUGGGGAUGGACUCGCGGCUUAUCAGCUUGUUGGUGGGGUAGUGGCUUACCAAGGCUUUGACGGGUAGCCGGCCUGAGAGGGUGACCGGCAACAUGGGGAGUGAAACCGGCCCCAGCCUCAUGGGGGAGGCAGAGGGGGGGAAUAUUGCACAGGGGGCGGAAGCCGAGUGCACACACCCCGGGUGGGGGAGGACGGCCUGGGGUUUGAAAACCGUUUGCGCCUGUAACGAAGGGGGGGGGAGGGGAGGGGAUAAAGAAGCCCGGCCAAACCAGGCC
rnacentral:rRNA from 1 species